rnacentral:sRNA from 1 species
UUGACCUCCCUGGGGACUUUAUUCUCUUGUCUUUAGCAACAAAAUGGGUACAGCAUGGCAGUACAAGCUUCCCUGUGCUAUUUUCCCAAAUGGCCCUAGAAAGUCUAUCUGUAGUAGCGAGAGUAAUUCAGUCUCCAUGCCCCAUUCAGUACUUGCCAACA